rnacentral:lncRNA from 1 species
CAUCUCUAGGUGGGCUCAUUCCUGUGCUGAAUAACCACGGGGUCAGGACUACAGAAGGCAGAUAGGAGCCUAAUUUCCAGUGAGCCAGCCAACUAUCUCUGACUCAUGCUCCGAGCUGUCAAUAAGAAACAGGAAUCAACCGAGAUUAAAACUGAUCUGUCAGAAAGCAGAUUGUAUCAGAAAGAUAAUAGAAUCAAAUUAAUUUAUGAUGAGGAGAUUUCACAACAGACAACGAGGCAAUACUGAAAACCACAGUCCAAUGUAAUCCCUUUGAAGAAACGUUGUACUUAUUACAGCUGUGAUGAUUGCAAAUGUUUGGUUUAAAAGUCUGUGUUGCAGUCUGGAGGAAAAAACCCAGGCUAUUUAUGGUCUCCAGUUUUUAAAGAUGGGAGCUAAAGAAAAUAAGCCUGGAGAAAUAUGAGCUGAAGCUUAAUAUUUCCGUCUUCAUUUAAGAAGGGGUGGUUAGAAAAUAGACCUGCCAGCCUGAAGGAAAUUUGGAUGUGUCAACAUUUUGUUGGGUGUUUGAAAUUUUUGGUUCCU